rnacentral:misc_RNA from 1 species
GAUGAAGAACGCAGCGAAAUGCGAUAAGUAAUGAGAAUUGCAGAAUUCAGUGAAUCAUCGAAUCUUUGAACGCACCUUGCGCUCUUUGGUAUUCCGAAGAGCAUGCCUGUUUGAGUGUCAUGAAAAUAUCAACCUUGACUUGGGUUUUGUGCUCUAGUCUCGGCUUGGAAUUGGGUGCUUGCCGCUUUUACGAGCGGCUCACCUUAAAUGUAUUAGCUGGAUCUGUCUUUGAGACUUGGUUUGACUUGGCGUAAUAAGUAUUUCGCUAAGGACAUUCUUCGGAGUGGCCUCGUUUCUAGGACGCUUGUCCGCUUUCCAAUACAAGUUCCACCUCGUGGACAUGACUUUUUAUUAUCUGGCCUCAAAUCAGGUAGGACUACCCGCUGAACUUAAGCAUAUCAAUAAGCGGAGGA